rnacentral:rRNA from 2 species
UAGCUUGCUAGAAGAUGACGAGCGGCGGACGGGUGAGUAAUACUUAGGAAUCUACCUAGUAGUGGGGGAUAGCUCGGGGAAACUCGAAUUAAUACCGCAUACGACCUACGGGAGAAAGGGGGCAACUUGUUGCUCUCGCUAUUAGAUGAGCCUAAGUCGGAUUAGCUAGAUGGUGGGGUAAAGGCCUACCAUGGCGACGAUCUGUAGCUGGUCUGAGAGGAUGAUCAGCCACACCGGAACUGAGACACGGUCCGGACUCCUACGGGAGGCAGCAGUGGGGAAUAUUGGACAAUGGGGGCAACCCUGAUCCAGCCAUGCCGCGUGUGUGAAGAAGGCCUUUUGGUUGUAAAGCACUUUAAGCAGUGAAGAAGACUCUAGGGUUAAUACCCCUAGACGAUGACAUUAGCUGCAGAAUAAGCACCGGCUAACUCUGUGCCAGCAGCCGCGGUAAUACAGAGGGUGCAAGCGUUAAUCGGAAUUACUGGGCGUAAAGCGAGCGUAGGUGGCUUGAUAAGUCAGAUGUGAAAGCCCCGGGCUUAACCUGGGAACGGCAUCUGAUACUGUUGAGCUAGAGUAGGUGAGAGGAAGGUAGAAUUCCAGGUGUAGCGGUGAAAUGCGUAGAGAUCUGGAGGAAUACCGAUGGCGAAGGCAGCCUUCUGGCAUCAUACUGACACUGAGGCUCGAAAGCGUGGGUAGCAAACAGGAUUAGAUACCCUGGUAGUCCACGCCGUAAACGAUGUCUACUAGUCGUUGGGUCCCUUGAGGACUUAGUGACGCAGCUAACGCAAUAAGUAGACCGCCUGGGGAGUACGGCCGCA